ACUCCUACGGGAGGCAGCAGUGGGGGAAUCUUCCACAAUGGGCGCAAGCCUGAUGGAGCAACACCGCGUGAGUGAAGAAGGGUUUCGGCUCGUAAAGCUCUGUUGUUAAAGAAGAACACGUAUGAGAGUAACUGUUCAUACGUUGACGGUAUUUAACCAGAAAGUCACGGCUAACUACGUGCCAGCAGCCGCGGUAAUACGUAGGUGGCAAGCGUUAUCCGGAUUUAUUGGGCGUAAAGAGAGUGCAGGCGGUUUUCUAAGUCUGAUGUGAAAGCCUUCGGCUUAACCGGAGAAGUGCAUCGGAAACUGGAUAACUUGAGUGCAGAAGAGGGUAGUGGAACUCCAUGUGUAGCGGUGGAAUGCGUAGAUAUAUGGAAGAACACCAGUGGCGAAGGCGGCUACCUGGUCUGCAACUGACGCUGAGACUCGAAAGCAUGGGUAGCGAACAGGAUUAGAUACCCUGGUAGGAUAGCG
rnacentral:rRNA from 1 species